UUAGUUACAUACUGGCAUAAGUUUUCAACGUGUUUUC
rnacentral:sRNA from 1 species